rnacentral:rRNA from 1 species
ACGCGAAAAGGGUAGCAAUACCCAAGUAGAGUGGCGAACGGGUGAGUAAUGUGUGGGUAAUUUGCCUUUCAGAGGGGGAUAACCCGGCGAAAGCUGAGCUAAUACCCCAUAACAUUGCAAUUUCUUCGGAGAAUGCAAUCAAAUGAUGGCCUCUAUUUAUAAGCUAUCGCUGAUUGAUGAGCCCACAUCCUAUCACGCUUGUUGGUGGGGUAAUGGCCCACCAAGGCGACGACGGGUAGCUGGUCUGAGAGGACGGCCAGCCACACUGGAACUGAGACACGGUCCAGACUCCUACGGGAGGCAGCAGUGGGGAAUAUUGGACAAUGGGGGCAACCCUGAUCCAGCAAUGCCGCGUGUGUGAAGAAGGCCUGCGGGUUGUAAAGCACUUUCGGUUGGGAAGAAAAGUCCGGCGCUAAUAUCGCUGGGCCUUGACGUUACUGACAGAAGAAGCACCGGCUAACUCUGUGCCAGCAGCCGCGGUAAUACAGAGGGUGCAAGCGUUAAUCGGAAUCACUGGGCGUAAAGCGUGCGUAGGUGGUCAUGCAAGUCGGGUGUGAAAUCCCCGGGCUUAACCUGGGAACUGCAUUCGAUACUACAUGGCUGGAGUAUGGUAGAGGGAAGUGGAAUUUCCGGUGUAGCGGUGAAAUGCGUAGAUAUCGGAAGGAACACCAAUGGCGAAGGCAGCUUCCUGGACCAAUACUGACACUGAGGCACGAAAGCGUGGGUAGCAAACAGGAUUAGAUACCCUGGUAGUCCACGCCCUAAACGAUGAGAACUAGCCGUUGGGGGAAUUUAAUCCCCUAGUGGCGCAGCUAACGCGUUAAGUUCUCCGCCUGGGGAGUACGGCCGCAAGGUUAAAACUCAAAGGAAUUGACGGGGGCCCGCACAAGCGGUGGAGCAUGUGGUUUAAUUCG